GGACCCGCACAAGCGGUGGAUGAUGUGGAUUAAUUCGAUGCAACGCGAAAAACCUUACCUACCCUUGACAUGCCCGGAAGCUCGCAGAGAUGUGAGCGUGCCCGAAAGGGAGCCGGGACACAGGUGCUGCAUGGCUGUCGUCAGCUCGUGUCGUGAGAUGUUGGGUUAAGUCCCGCAACGAGCGCAACCCUUGUCACUAGUUGCUACGAAAGGGCACUCUAGUGAGACUGCCGGUGACAAACCGGAGGAAGGUGGGGAUGACGUCAAGUCCUCAUGGCCCUUAUGGGUAGGGCUUCACACGUCAUACAAUGGCCGGUACAAAGGGCUGCCAACCCGCGAGGGGGAGCCAAUCCCAGAAAACCGGUCGUAGUCCGGAUUGCAGUCUGCAACUCGACUGCAUGAAGUCGGAAUCGCUAGUAAUCGCGGAUCAGCAUGUCGCGGUGAAUACGUUCCCGGGUCUU
rnacentral:rRNA from 1 species